UACGUAGGGGGUAAGCGUUGUCCGGAUUUAUUGGGCGUAAAGAGCGUGUAGGCGGCCAGGUAGGUCUGCUGUGAAAACUCGAGGCUUAACCUCGAGCUGUCGGCGGAAACCAUCUGGCUAGAGUCCGGAAGAGGAGAAUGGAAUUCCCGGUGUAGCGGUGAAAUGCGCAGAUAUCGGGAAGAACACCCGUGGCGAAGGCGGUUCUCUGGGACGGUGCUGACGCUGAGACGCGAAAGCGUGGGGAGCGAACAGG
rnacentral:rRNA from 1 species